rnacentral:rRNA from 1 species
GUCAGGACCUAAGCCGAGGCCGAAAGGCGUAGGUGAUGGACAACAGGUUGAUACUCCUGUACCACCAAUAACCGUUUGAGAAAUGGGAUGACACAGUAGGAUAAGCUAACCGCACUGUUGGUUAUGUGCGGGCAAGUAUUGAGGCAGUUCCGAUAGGCAAAUCCGUCGGAAUAAUGCUGGGGUACGAUGCGGAGCGAAAUUAAGUAGCGAAGUAGCUGAUUUCACACUGUCGAGAAAAGUCUCUAUCGAGGUUAAAGGUGCCUGUACCGCAAACCGACACAGGUGGGUGAGGAGAGUAUCCUAAGGCCAGCGAGAGAACUGUUGUUAAGGAACUCGGCAAAAUGACCCCGUAACUUAGGGAGAAGGGGUGCCUUCGAAAGAAGGCCGCAGAGAAUAGGCCCAGGCGACUGUUUACCAAAAACAUAGGUUUCUGCUAAGUCGCAAGACGAUGUAUAGGAGCUGACGCCUGCCCGGUGCUGGAAGGUUAAGGGGAUCUGUUAGAGCAAUCGAAGCAGUGAACUUAAGCCCCAGUAAACGGCGGCCGUAACAAUAACGGUCCUAAGGUAGCGAAAUUCCUUGUCGGGUAAGUUCCGACCCGCACGAAAGGCGUAACGAUUUGGGCACUGUCUCAACAACAGACUCGGUGAAAUUGUAAUACCGGUGAAGAUGCCGGUUACCUGCGACAGGACGGAAAGACCCCAUGGAGCUUUACUGUAGCUUGACAUUGAGUCUCGGUGCUACAUGUACAGGAUAGGUGGGAGACUAUGAAGCAUGGACGUCAGUCUGUGUGGAGUCAUCCUUGGGAUACCACCCUUGUAGUACUGGGAUUCUAACCAGAGGCCAUGAAUCUGGUCUUGGGACACUGUCAGGUGGACAGUUUGACUGGGGCGGUCGCCUCCCAAAAAGUAACGGAGGCGCUCAAAGGUUCUCUCAGUACGGUCGGAAAUCGUACGAAGAGUGUAAAGGCAAAGGAGAGCUUGAUUGCAAGACAUACAGGUCGAGCAAGGACGAAAGUCGGACUUAGUGAUCCGGUGGUUCCGCAUGGAAGGGCCAUCGCUCAACGGAUAAAAGCUACCCUGGGGAUAACAGGCUGAUCUCCCCCAAGAGUCCACAUCGACGGGGAGGUUUGGCACCUCGAUGUCGGCUCAUCACAUCCUGGGGCUGUAGUAGGUCCCAAGGGUUGGGCUGUUCGCCCAUUAAAGUGGUACGCGAGCUGGGUUCAGAACGUCGUGUGACAGUUCGGUCACUAUCCGUCGCAGGCGUAGGAAAUUUGAGGAGACCUGUCCUUAGUACGAGAGGACCGGGAUGGACGUACCGCUGGUGUACCAGUUGUUCUGCCAAGGGCAUGGCUGGAUAGCUAAGUACGGAAAGGAUAAGCGCUGAAAGCAUCUAAGCGCGAAGCCCACUUCAAGAUAAGAUUUCCCACCGCAAGGUUAAGAUCCCAGGAAGACUACCUGGUUGA